rnacentral:rRNA from 1 species
UGGGGAAUCUUGCACAAUGGGGGCAACCCUGAUGCAGCGACGCCGCGUGAGCGAUGAAGCCCUUCGGGGCGUAAAGCUCUUUCGACCGGAACGAUAAUGACGGUACCGGGAGAAGAAGCUGCGGCUAACUACGUGCCAGCAGCCGCGGUAAUACGUAGGCAGCAAGCGUUGUUCGGAGUUACUGGGCGUAAAGAGUGCGUAGGCGGUUUUCUAAGUUCGGUGUGAAAUCUCCCGGCUUAACUGGGAGGGUGCGCCGAAGACUGGGAAGCUGGAGUGUGGGAAAGGCAGGCGGAAUUCCUGGUGUAGCGGUGAAAGGCGUAGAUAUCAGGAGGAACACCUGCGGUGUAGACGGCUUGCUAGACCAUAACUGACGCUGAGGCACGAAAGCGUGGGUAGCAAACA